rnacentral:lncRNA from 1 species
AUUGUUUGAUAUUUCAUCUGACAGAUUUGUUAGAGGCCAUACCCUCUGGCUUUCUGUGUGCAAGCCUCUCUAUAGUUGCCCAUCACCAACCUGACCUUAAUGUAACCCUCAAGGCCCCAUGUAAACUAUUAAUCUGAUUAUUUGAUUAUUAAUCUGAUUAUUUGCUAUUUGGUCACUUAAAAUCAAUUUAAUGGUUGCUACUUCUGUUAGCUGUUUUUAGUCAUUAUUCCUUGAAAUUCUUACAUACUGUACUACUUGUGAUUAAAAUUCUAACCCCAUUUACCUUAUGGUAGCUAUCAUCAAAAUUGUGGACAAUGAUAUUGUGUACAGUGAUUGGGAGUGAUGCAGUGAUAUUCUGGCCGGAUGACUCUGUAUAUUAAAGUAACUUCCAGAUGGCAAAAAUUUCUGCACUUGAAAAGAUGCUUGUUCGUUGCUUGCUGGACUCGUUCUUUUACAAUAGAUGUAGUGUGCCUCAGGCACUUGGAACGCUUUGUUGUGUACCAAUUAGGAACUGGUUAGACCGCAUUAAAAAAUAUAACUCUGUAUAAUACAGAAUAAGAGAAGUAUAAAGGUAUAUUUUAUGAUAUGAAUUUGAUACUAUUUGGAUUCAUUAUGUAUUUUGAGAUAUUUUAAGUUUCUUAGUGUUGAACUAUAAUAAUGUUUUGAACUUUUAGAUUGCAGAAUUAUGAAAUAAAG